GAGGAACGGUGCACGGGACCCGCGAGUGUCCUCCGGGCUGGACUCACUCCUUCCUGUCUCCUCCCACCCAGUGGUGCUACAAGCGGGUCUGUGUCCCCUUUGGGUCGCGCCCAGAGGGUGUGGACGGAGCCUGGGGGCCGUGGACUCCGUGGGGCGACUGCAGCCGGACCUGUGGCGGCGGCGUGUCCUCUUCUAGCCGUCACUGCGACAGCCCCAGGCCAACCAUCGGGGGCAAGUACUGUCUGGGUGAGAGAAGGCGGCACCGCUCCUGCAACACGGAUGACUGUCCCCCUGGCUCCCAGGACUUCAGAGAAGUGCAGUGUUCUGAAUUUGACAGCAUCCCUUUCCGUGGGAAAUUCUACACGUGGAAAACGUACCGGGGAGGUGAGUGUGGGACUCCGAAGGCUGUGGGGCCGUGAAGGGCAGCCGUGGGAGUGUCCAGCAGCAGGUGGAUGAAUGCAGCAUCCCGGGG
rnacentral:sRNA from 1 species